rnacentral:misc_RNA from 1 species
AAAUCAACUCCCUUUUGGGGUUAAAACGGGGGAUGGUGGGUUGACUCCCUCAUCACGAAAUCUCCGAAACUAUAACAGCUACAAACUUGAAAUUUGGCAGGUAGUUUCCUUAUAGAGCUUAGACAUCCACUAAGAAUGGAUUUUACGAAAAUCGACCCCCAAGGGGGUAAAACGGGGGUUGGAAGUUUAUAUGAAAGUCCUAUGUUUUUGAAGUAAGAGACUUGAAAU